rnacentral:tRNA from 1 species
GGCGGUGUAGCUCAGCUGGCUAGAGCGUACGGUUCAUACCCGUGAGGUCGGGGGUUCGAUCCCCGUGAGGUCG